CCUCCAAAACGAAGCCCUGUGUGCUCUCAAGGUCCCGCCGGAACUCUCUCUUCGGAGCGCCCUUCUGAAGGGGGACGUUUUCACCCACGUCAUCGCCCUGAGACAGCUUCAGCCUGUCCCUCCCCUCCCCCCACCGCCGCCUGCCUCCCUCCUGCUCCUCUUCCUCUUCCUCUUCCUCCUCCUCUGAACUCUUGAGCUUCUCCUCUCACUGGCCUCUCAUCCCACACGGUGGCAGUGUCGGCCUAGGACACUUCGAGAAGCAGCAAGAGUGCCAGUUUGUGAGAACCGAAGGCCAAACCGGCGUGAUGUAACCCGGCGAUGUGUGUCGUCAGAGGCCCAUCUAGAUUCGCACUCCAGUUCACGGAGGGGAGCAGUGGGAACAGGAGUGUGGACCCUUCCCACUCCCCCAGUGAACAUCUGUCCCGUGGAAGGGGUAUAGGAACCUCAUGACCUGACCCACGUGGUGAACAGUCACCAAAGACAAAGAAUUCCUACAGCCAGACGUUUGCAACCACGAACCCUGUCCCUCCAUCACCUGACCUUUCAGAAUGCUACGUGGAACCCUUUCAAGAAGCUUGGGGCAGGAAAAAAAAAAAAAAAACAAAAACAAAAAAACAAGAAGAAGCAGAAGAAGCAGCAGCAGCAGCAGCAGCUGGGGGCUUGGAGGUAUGGACCCCUGAAUUCUCCUCGCUCGGCCCUCCCUGCAAGAAAACGUUGUGUGCUUGCCUGCGCCCCACAUGCCAACUUUUCGGGGGAUCGGACCUCCCAGGGUGCCCCUGCACCAGGCACCCUGCCUGCGUGCGACAUCCCAAGAGAUCCUAUGGAGAAACAUCUCCGGCCACUCGCAUGACAUCUGCAUCGCUGGCGAGUGACCCUUCAGACCUCCACAUAGAUACGUGAGCACAAACGCUCCUUCACAAUCUGGGACACCUCGUAGGCUCUGUGAGCUCCUCUGGUUCAGCACUCCCUCGACUUGGCUGUGGUUUUGGUUCUGUUCUGCUCUGUUCUGGGUUUGCUUUCGGACCCGCGUGAUCUCUCUGGAUAGGGCACCCCCAAUCAAAGCGAAAAUAAAUCGAGUCUGUGUAAAUACUA